CAAUUUCAAACCCAUUUCCCGUCUCUCUCUUCUCUCUCCAAACACACAUAGUGACAACAGCCAUCUUUUCUCCGACACUUAUUUUGUGCAAUGCAACGGCGCCGGCCAGACCUGACAUGAGCGCCCCUUCCAGAUCGUCGUGACGAUUUGAGCCACAUAGCCAUGGUGAUGCCAAUUUUGGGCAGCAUUGCUCGUGGCGUGAGCUUCGGUGCUGUAAUGAUGGUGAUUUUUUUGGUGUGCGUAGCUGCUGCUUUAGGGAUUUUUUGGGUGGGGAUGCCGUGAUGAAGUUACUUGUACUCGAUCGCUGCAAAUGAUGGCACUAUAAUAGUUUCAGAUCUCGCCGCUGCAACGGUGAUGACAAUGCGAUGGCGGCUGCUGCAAUCACAACUUCAGAUUACGGUACCUAUAAGGUCAAUGUUUGGAUUUUUUUGCUAGAUUGGUGUAGCACUCAUUGUGAGCGGUGUGGUGUAGUUUGGCGAGUUAGAUUUGGUGGUAUUGUAUGGUGUGGUGGUGGUGUGGUGUAGUGUGGCAAUGUGGCUAAGUGAGUUGGUGGCUUUGGUGUUGUACAGGCGAUGGUGUGGUAGUCGACGGUGAUGCACUGUGGCGAUGAUGGAGACGAAUGGGGUGUCUAUGACCAACAAUUAGAUGUCUGUGACCAACAAUUAGGCUCUGUGACCAUCUAUUUAGGCAUAUGUGACCAAAUAUUAUGUGUCUAUGACUAAAUAAGAAUUUGUGAUCAAUAAACUGUGAUCCAUGUGGCCCAUAGCCAAAAU
rnacentral:lncRNA from 1 species